UACGAAGGGGGCUAGCGUUGCUCGGAAUCACUGGGCGUAAAGCGCACGUAGGCGGGUCGUUAAGUCAGGGGUGAAAUCCCAGAGCUCAACUCUGGAACUGCCUUUGAUACUGGCGACCUAGAGUUCGGAAGAGGUUAGUGGAAUUCCCAGUGUAGAGGUGAAAUUCGUAGAUAUUGGGAAGAACACCAGUGGCGAAGGCGGCUAACUGGUCCGAUACUGACGCUGAGGUGCGAAAGCGUGGGGAGCAAACAGG
rnacentral:rRNA from 1 species